rnacentral:rRNA from 1 species
UACGGAGGGUGCGAGCGUUGUCCGGAAUCAUUGGGCGUAAAGGGCGCGUAGGUGGCCCGGUCAGUUCGUGGUGAAAGCGCGGGGCUCAACCCUGCGUCGGCCAUGAAUACUGCCGCGGCUGGAGCACUGUAGAGGCAGGCGGAAUUCCGGGUGUAGCGGUGGAAUGCGUAGAGAUCCGGAAGAACACCGGUGGCGAAGGCGGCCUGCUGGCAGUUGCUGGACACUGAGGCGCGACAGCGUGGGGAGCAAACAGG